rnacentral:rRNA from 1 species
GACGAACGCUGGCGGCGUGCCUAAUACAUGCAAGUCGAACGCUGAAGGCGGAGCUUGCUCUUCUGGAUGAGUUGCGAACGGGUGAGUAACGCGUAGGUAACCUGCCUGGUAGUGGGGGAUAACUAUUGGAAACGAUAGCUAAUACCGCAUAAGAGUAGAUGUUGCAUGACAUUUGCUUAAAAGUUGCAAUUGCUUCACUACCAGAUGCACCUGCGUUGUAUUAGCUAGUUGGUGGGGUAACGGCUCACCAUGGCGGCGAUGCAUCGCCGACCGGAGAGGGGGGGCAGCCACACUGGGACUGUGACACGGCCCAGAGUCCCACGGGAGGCAGCAGGAGUGAAUCUUCGGCAAGCGGCGGAAGUCUGAGCGAGCAGCGCCGCGGGAGUGAGGAAGGUUGUCGGGUCGGAAAGCUCUGUUGUAAGGGAAGAACGAGUGUGAGAGUGGAAAGUUCACACUGUGACGGUAACUGAUCAGAAAGGGACGGCUAACUACGUG